rnacentral:rRNA from 1 species
AGUGAACGCUGGCGGUAUGCCUAACACAUGCAAGUCGAACGGCAGCACAGUAAGAGCUUGCCCUUACGGGUGGCGAGUGGCGGACGGGUGAGGAAUACAUCGGAAUCUACUUUUUCGUGGGGGAUAACGUAGGGAAACGUACGCUAAUACCGCAUACGACCUACGGGUGAAAGCAGGGGAUCUUCGGACCUUGCGCGAUUGAAUGAGCCGAUGUCGGAUUAGCUAGUUGGCGGGGUAAAGGCCCACCAAGGCGACGAUCCGUAGCUGGUCUGAGAGGAUGAUCAGCCACACUGGAACUGAGACACGGUCCAGACUCCUACGGGAGGCAGCAGUGGGGAAUAUUGGACAAUGGGCGCAAGCCUGAUACAGCCAUAUCGCGUGGGUGAAGAAGGACUUCGGGUUGUAAAGCCCUUUUGUUGGGAAAGAAAAGCAGCAGGUUAAUACCCCGCUGUUCUGACGGUACCCAAAGAAUAAGCACCGGCUAACUUCGUG